rnacentral:lncRNA from 1 species
AACAAUUUUUCUCUUACCAUAUCAUGCAUUCUUAUUGAUCAAUCAGCACGAAGAAGACACAUGACACAUGACUUGCCCUAGACCAUUUUCUUAAAUGUGAUGCACUACACGUGGUCGUGGGAGACAACAACAAUACAACACUCCGGCUUUUCUAUCACAGUAGGCUGCACUUGGGCCCAUCUUCAUGUUCUGGCAUCUAACCUCACAUGACGCCAGCCCGCAUUCAUAGUCAGCCACACAUGUUUCCUCUUGCUCUCCAGCCAUCACUUCAUCUGCACAUACAUAUUCACAGAUGAGAUCGCUUCUUACUCCCUCUGUCCCACAAUAUAAGAGCAUAGCUUGCAAAAUGCUCUUAUAUUGUGGGAUGAAGGGAGUAGCAUACAAAGAAAAUAUAAGUUUUUCCACGCAUGACUCAGUGCACUGACCUGACAGUGAUACUCCUUGGUAGAAGAAAAAAAUAAGCACGACCAGAAGAGCUGCUACGAAUACAGCAGCCCUAAAGCUAAGGUCGUUCUUUGUAAAGGCCAUUUAUCUGUAGAUCAGAUCGAUGUCCAGUAGCUAGUUCGUGUUCUACUUCUGUAGCUAAU